GGUACCUUGAAAGGUCAUUUGAACACAGAGAGACACCAGGGAUUGUUAUGAGAAGAUGAAAGUCCCUAGGAAGACACAAGGAGAAGACAAUUGUAUACAAGCCAACGGGGAAAGAGCGGACGAGGAACCAGACCUUCCGCACCUUGAUAUUGGACCCACUGCUUCUGGAGCUGUGAGAGAGAACACUCUCUUGAAGAGAAGACACCGAAAGCAUAGCAGCGUCAAGGUAGUUUGUGAGCUACAGGAUGGAAAGCAGCUGGUCGUCUUCACUUAAGGACCUUGCCUCCGUGUCUCAAUACCACACUUCUCAUGAGCAAAGCUUCCCAGAGAAGCUGGACAGGAACGCAGGGGUCCUCCUAAUGCUACCUUCUCCAACUCUAAUGAGAAGGAUUUACCUCAACCAGCAGGGAUCCAGAAGUCCACGUUGUUAAGUGCACAGCCCAUGGGGUGGUUGUUCUUAGGAGAGAGGUCUAUUAAUCCUCUCCUACCAGGUCCAACCAUGGUCAUUAUCCAUAGUCUUCUCAAAGAGGACAGUCAGCAGUGAGGUAC
rnacentral:lncRNA from 1 species